rnacentral:rRNA from 1 species
AUUGAACGCUGGCGGCAGGCCUAACACAUGCAAGUCGAGCGAGCGGCGGACGGGUGAGUAAUGUAUGGGGAUCUGCUCUGUAGAGGGGGAUAACUACUGGAAACUUUGGCUAAUACCGCAUACGAUCGAAUGAGCCCAUAUGGGAUUAGCUAGUAGGUGGGGUAAAGGCUCACCAAGGCGACGAUCCCUAGCUGGUCUGAGAGGAUGAUCAGCCACACUGGGACUGAGACACGGUCCAGACUCCUACGGGAGGCAGCAGUGGGGAAUAUUGCACAAUGGGCGCAAGCCUGAUGCAGCCAUGCCGCGUGUGUGAAGAAGGCCUUAGGGUUGUAAAGUACUUUCGGCGGGGAGGCGGUACCCGAAGAAGAAGCACCGGCUAACUCCGUGCCAGCAGCCGCGGUAAUAC